rnacentral:rRNA from 1 species
AAAGGUAGCGUAAUCAUUAGUUUUUUAAUUGAAAGCUUGUAUGAAUGGUUGGACGAGGUAAAUACUGUCUUUACUUGAUUUAUAUUAGAAUUUAACUUUUGAGUCAAAAGGCUCAAAUUUAAUUAAUAGACGAGAAGACCCUAUAGAUCUUUAUAUAUAAAUUUUUAAAUUAUGUUUGGAUUUGUUGUUAAUUUAAUUUUUUGUGUAUUUUGUUGGGGUAAUAUAAAGAUUAAAUAAAUUCUUUGAAUUUUAAAACAAUGAUGAUUGAUUUAGUGAUCCAUUAAUAUUGAUUAUAAGAUUAAGUUACCUUAGGGAUAACAGCGUAAUUUUUUUUAAGAGUUCAUAUCGAUAAAAAAGU